rnacentral:rRNA from 1 species
AGUGAACGCUGGCGGUAGGCCUAACACAUGCAAGUCGAACGGCAGCACAGUAAGAGCUUGCUCUUACGGGUGGCGAGUGGCGGACGGGUGAGGAAUACAUCGGAAUCUACUUUUUCGGGGGGGAUAACGUAGGGAAACUUACGCUAAUACCGCAUACGACCUACGGGUGAAAGCAGGGGAUCUUCGGACCUUGCGCGAUUGAAUGAGCCGAUGUCGGAUUAGCUAGUUGGCGGGGUAAAGGCCCACCAAGGCGACGAUCCGUAGCUGGUCUGAGAGGAUGAUAGGCGACAUUGGAACUGAGCCACGGUCCAGACUCCUACGGGAGGCAGCAGUGGGGAAUAUGGGACAAUGGGCGCAAGCCUGAUACAGCCAUACCGAGUGGGUGAAGAAGGCCUUCGGGUUGUAAAGCCCUUUUGUUGGGAAAGAAAAGCAGCAGGUUAAUACCCCGCUGUUCUGACGGUACCCAAAGAAUAAGCACCGGCUAACUUCGUG